UACAGAGGUCUCAAGCGUUGUCCGGAUUUAUUGGGCGUAAAGCGCUCGCAGGUGGUCCGAUGCGUCGUGCGUGAAAGACCCCGGCUCAACUGGGGAGUGUCGUGCGAUACGGUCGGACUGGAGGCCAGUAGGGGGAUGCGGAAUUCCGGGUGUAGUGGUGGAAUGCGUAGAGAUCCGGAGGAACACCAGCGGCGAAGGCGGCAUCCUGGACUGGUCCUGACACUCAUGAGCGAAAGCGUGGGGAGCGAGCCGG
rnacentral:rRNA from 1 species